UGCUUUGUACAGUGACAGUAUCAUAGCCAAUGAGGUUUAUCUGAGGCGCGAUUAUUGCUAAUUGAAAAUUUUUCCUUUUCCCACCUCCCUCCUUCUUUUCUCUAAAAGUAUAAAACUUGAUGUAAUUCCUAAUGUUUGAAAAGUA